CCUACGGGCGGCAGCAGUGAGGAAUAUUGGGCAAUGGGGGCAACCCUGACCCAGCCAUGCCGCGUGAGUGAAGAAGGUCUUCGGAUUGUAAAGCUCUUUCGGACGUGACGAUGAUGACGGUAGCGUCUAAAGAAGCACCGGCAAACUUCGUGCCAGCAGCCGCGGUAAUACGUAGGGUGCGAGCGUUGGUCGGAAUUACUGGGCGGAAAGGGAGUGUAGGCGGAUAUGUAAGAUAGCGGUGAAAUGCCGGGGCUCAACCCAGGAACUGCCAUUAUGACUAUGUAUCUAGAGUGAUGGAGAGGAUAGCGGAAUACCCAGUGUAGAGGUGAAAUGCGUAGAUAUUGGGUAGAACACCGGUGGCGAAGGCGGCUAUCUGGCCAUUUACUGACGCUGAGGCUCGAAAGCAUGGGGAGCAAACAGGAUUAGAUACCCUUGUAGUC
rnacentral:rRNA from 1 species